rnacentral:misc_RNA from 1 species
AAGUCGUAACAAGGUUUCCGUACCUGCGGAAGGAUCAUUAACACGUAUCCAACGUUAAACCCCCCGUGAACCUUCAGUGUGCUCGUACGCUUUGUUAGAAAGUACCUGGUAAAUCAUCGCCGAACAGUUUUGAUUCAGGGACUUCUGCGAAGAGUGUGCUUGUAGCGCGAGGCAAGUGACGAUCGCUAGAGGCCGACACGGCCGGCGACCGGGUCACCGGGCUCACGCCCCUUAAUAACCUUUGCAUGAAAACGGGCCUGCGCUUAAUUGUGCGGCCAUAAACCGAACAACUGUUAACAAUGGAUAUCUUGGUUCUC